AUGAAAAGAGGAGGAUGGUCUAACCCCCCAACGGGAUUUGUUAAACUUAACGUUGAUGCUUCUUUUGACCACGACCUUCUCAGGGGUACGAUCGGGGCUGUCUUAAGAGAUGACAAAGGUAGGUUCAUCAGUGGGGGAAAUGGUAAGAUUGACCGGUGUGCAGAUGUGUUGAUGGCUGAAGCUUUGGCGUUAAAAUUUGGCCUAUCGCUUGCGCAAAGGACGGGUUGUAAUCGCAUAAUUAUUAACUCGGAUAAUAUGAAGGUGAUCGAGACCAUGAACGAAGGAGGACGAUCGUCGGGGGCAGCUGCUGCAAUUUUUGAUGACUGUUUUCACUUAGCUUGCAAUUUUCCUAUUUCUAGAUUCGAGCAUUGUAAUAGAGAAGCAAAUAAAGUUGCUCAUGAACUUGCCAAGUUGGCUAGAUUUUCUUUCAUUUCUGAUUGGUUUGAGGAACCACAUAAUGCAAUUGUACCAAUCCUCAUAAACGAUGUAAUGAUUAUUUCUAAUGAAUAA
rnacentral:rRNA from 1 species